rnacentral:rRNA from 1 species
AUUGAACGCUGGCGGCAUGCUUUACGCAUGCAAGUCGGACGGUAACAGGCCUUCGGGUGCUGACGAGUGGCGAACGGGUGAGUAAUGCAUCGGAACGUGCCCAAUCGUGGGGGAUAACGUAGCGAAAGUUACGUUAAUACCGCAUAAGCCCUGAGGGGGAAAGCAGGGGAUCGCAAGACCUUGCGCGAAUGGAGCGGCCGAUGUCAGAUUAGCUAGUUGGUGGGGUAAAGGCCUACCAAGGCGACGAUCUGUAGCGGGUCUGAGAGGAUGAUCCGCCACACUGGGACUGGGACACGGCCCAGACUCCUACGGGAGGCAGCAGUGAGGAAUAUUGGGCAAUGGGCGAAAGCCUGACCCAGCCACGCCGCGUGAGUGAAGAAGGCCUCGGUU